UACGAAGGGUGCAAGCGUUACUCGGAAUUACUGGGCGUAAAGCGUGCGUAGGUGGUUUGUUAAGUCUGUUGUGAAAGCCCCGGGCUCAACCUGGGAAUGGCAGUGGAUACUGGCAGGCUAGAGUGCGGUAGAGGGGAGUGGAAUUCCCGGUGUAGCGGUGAAAUGCGUAGAGAUCGGGAGGAACACCAGUGGCGAAGGCGGCUACCUGGACCAGCACUGACACUGAGGCACGAAAGCGUGGGGAGCAAACAGG
rnacentral:rRNA from 1 species